GUAGGAGUGAGCCUGCUCGCGAUGGCGUUUUGUCAGUCACUGCCGUUGCGACUGAUACACCGCUAUCGCGAGCAGGCUCACUCCUAC
rnacentral:misc_RNA from 1 species